CGCCACCAUUCUUCCAAUCAAAAUACUGAAUAAGCAGAGGGAAUAUUUCCACAGCACCGUGAUUGCUCCCAUCAGUAGAAACACCACAGUAAGCCUUCCUCUCCUCUGAAGACCCAGUGAGGGUAGAGCUCAGUCAGAGAGCUGUUGAGGAACUGGUUAGGAAGAACACUUCUACAGCCAGAGAGGGACAGUCAAUAAAUGGAACAGCAAGGCCACAGAACAUGACAUAAGCAGAGCUGUGGGAGACCACCUCAAGCCCCUGGUAGAGCCGGGGGUGGUGUUUACCACUCCACCACGCCUUCAGCAGGCUGGAAAAGUGGGAUUGAUCUGGUUGAUCCAUUUGUUUGUUUCAGUUUCCAGUAAUUGAAUCCUUUGACAUAUUGUUGAAUUAAACGUUUAUCUUCAACAAAUGCACUGGGUUGGUUGAAAAGUGAUACUAAACGUACAUACCAGCACUAUUUUGAUAUAGUGGGAGAUUUACUGAAUUUAUACUUUUUUCAUAAUAAGAUGGACCAAGAUACAUAUUGGUUUAGCAAGAGUCUGUUGAUUGUCAGUCAUUAUGUUCAUUUCUUU
rnacentral:lncRNA from 1 species